UACGAAGGGUGCAAACGUUAUUCGGAAUCACUGGGCGUAAAGGGUGCGUAGACGGUAUGUUAAGUUCGUCGUUAAAGGCUCCGGCCUACCGGAGUACCGCGAUGAAAACUGGCGCACUAGAGGGUGAGAGAGAGAAGUGGAAUUCCUGGAGUAGCGGUAAAAUGCGCAGAUAUCAGGAGGAACACCGGUGGCGAAGGCGGCAUC
rnacentral:rRNA from 1 species